CCAUCAGGCCUCCCCUCAGCUCCUCUGCUCUGCGCCGAGCCAAUGGAGGGACCUCAUCUGUUGUUCAUACAUCUUGCCCUCCAGACCCUUCCCCAUUUUUGAAGCUCUCCUUAGGAUGGGACAAAAGCAGCCCAGGUCAUACCGGUGAGAUUCUACUCCCCUGUCGCCGAGUCCUUCUUUGCUUACAUUAUUCAGAAACAUAUUGGCAAGUCUCACACUGUGAUUUCCAUGUACGGUUUACAGCAGCUGCCCCAGAAACAAUCACUCAGGAAAGUUAGUGGCUACAGAAACUACCCACAACACCUGGACCACAGCAGAAUUUCCCUGCUGACAAGAGCAUCGGCUGCUGGAUCAAGCGAAGUUGGAAAGAAGCAAAUCCCUGUGUAAACAUCAAUAUCGUCAAUUAAUUAGGAAACACAGCAAGAUAAAUAAUGAAGCCCCAAGAAAGGUUAACACCACAAAAAGGAGAAAAAAAAAAGGAAAAAGAAGAAAGUACUGCAGUUAGCGGAGUGAAGAAACUCUUGAAACACUGUUGUCUGAAACAAAAGCAAGGCACUCUCCCUUAACACCUGAUAUAUUCCUGAAUUCUGCCUAGAAAAAGGCAUGUUCACACUGAGAGAGCUGUGAGGAAGGUAGGAGAUUUAUUCUGCAUUAAUUCUUCUUUCACCAUCGUGACCUGUCACUGGCUGCACUCUACGAUGGGUCUGUGCACUGGAGUUGAAAUGAAGGACGGUUCGGUAGGUGACGGGAAUGGGAGAGUAUCACAGUUAAGACUAUCCAUGGAAGACUAAAGCACACCAGCUACAUGAAAUCUCACGUGGGGCUCUGGACCUGCUCCCUCCAUUCACAUCCCACUGAAUAAAUAAACCUCGCCCGACAAAAAGCAAUGUCACUGUACUGUGCUGAAAACUCAGUGGAGGGGCCUGCUCACAAGGAGCGCCCGGGACCCCUUCACUGAUGCUCAGCGCCUGGCAGGCUCUGUCCCUAGGCAGAAGUGAUUUCCCAAGGGACCUUGUGUCUGACACAAGGAGACAAAGGUAAACAUACUUUCUGAUUCGGCUUCUGUAUGUUUUUGUAU